AUUCAGGAUCACUCUACGUGGGUCACAUUCUUCCAGGAGAGCAAAGAUCAGGAGCUGGGCAAGUUUUUGGAGCUCCUGGGAUGAAGAGGGGGACAGGGAACGCAUGUGUGUGUGCAUGUGUGUAUGUAUGUAUGUGUGCAUGCAUGUGUGUGCAUGUGUAUGCAUGCACGUGUGCAUGUGUGUACAUGCACGCGUGCAUGUGUGCAUGUGUGCAUGUGCCUUGUGUUGCAUAAGUGUGCUCUGGUAGCUAGAGCAAUCGAAUUCAAUGUUUUAAGUCUUCCUUUGUGUAAACAGUACAGAGGGGCCACCUCCCCUUGUCACAGUCUCUGUGAUUAUAAAACAUGAAUUUUUGAUAAGUUCAGCUUUCUGGGAAGGCAGGCAGAUUUGGAGCCAAAGGACUGUCUUGGAACAUGUGUAGUGUUAUCUUGGUUCAUAUCAAGUCCAGAGCUGACUGAAGGCCUCAGCAUCUCUCAGCUCUGUGGGAAGGGCCAAGUGAGUCCUGGGGUCCCUGCUCAGUGCUGUUGUGAAGUUGCGUGGCGGCGGUCCCUGCCACUUUGGCGGCGGCGGUCUUCUGAAAGACGAUUCUGUGUUAUCAUUGUUACUUCAUGGUUUUUUUUAAAAAUGUAUCUGCUCUAUGUUUGGAAAUAAAAAGCUCUAUUUUGGUCUAUGA
ensembl:lincRNA Gm28875 predicted gene 28875